rnacentral:rRNA from 1 species
UACGUAGGGUGCAAGCGUUGUCCGGAAUUAUUGGGCGUAAAGGGCUCGUAGGCGGUCCAUCGCGUCGGCUGUGAAAACCUGGGGCUCAACCCCGGGCCUGCAGCCGAUACGGGCAAGCUAGAAUUCGGUAGGGGAGACUGGAAUUCCUGGUGUAGCGGUGAAAUGCGCAGAUAUCAGGAGGAACACCAGUGGCGAAGGCGGCUCACUGGCCCGGUACUGACGCUGAGGUGCGAAAGCGUGGGGAGCAAACAGG